GCACGGAGUUAGCCGAUGCUUAUUCCUCAGAUACCGUCAUUGUGUUCUUCUCUGAGAAAAGGAGUUUACGACCCACGGGCCUUCCUCCUCCACGCGGUAUUGCUCCGUCAGGCUUUCGCCCAUUGCGGAAAAUUCCUCA
rnacentral:rRNA from 1 species